rnacentral:rRNA from 1 species
AGAGUUUGAUCCUGGCUCAGGAUGAACGCUAGCUACAGGCUUAACACAUGCAAGUCGAGGGGAAACGACAUCGAAAGCUUGCUUUUGAUGGGCGUCGACCGGCGCACGGGUGAGUAACGCGUAUCCAACCUGCCCACCACUUGGGGAUAACCUUGCGAAAGUAAGACUAAUACCCAAUGACGUCUCUAGAAGACAUCUGAAGGAGAUUAAAGAUUUAUCGGUGAUGGAUGGGGAUGCGUCUGAUUAGCUUGUUGGCGGGGUAACGGCCCACCAAGGCGACGAUCAGUAGGGGUUCUGAGAGGAAGGUCCCCCACAUUGGAACUGAGACACGGUCCAAACUCCUACGGGAGGCAGCAGUGAGGAAUAUUGGUCAAUGGGCGAGAGCCUGAACCAGCCAAGGAGCGUGCAGGAUGACGGCCCUAUGGGUUGUAAACUGCUUUUAUAAGGGAAUAAAGUGAGUCUCGUGAGACUUUUUGCAUGUACCUUAUGAAUAAGGACCGGCUAAUUCCGUGCCAGCAGCCGCGGUAAUACGGAAGGUCCGGGCGUUAUCCGGAUUUAUUGGGUUUAAAGGGAGCGUAGGCCGGAGAUUAAGCGUGUUGUGAAAUGUAGACGCUCAACGUCUGCACUGCAGCGCGAACUGGUUUCCUUGAGUACGCACAAAGUGGGCGGAAUUCGUGGUGUAGCGGUGAAAUGCUUAGAUAUCACGAAGAACUCCGAUUGCGAAGGCAGCUCACUGGAGCGCAACUGACGCUGAAGCUCGAAAGUGCGGGUAUCGAACAGGAUUAGAUACCCUGGUAGUCCGCACGGUAAACGAUGGAUGCCCGCUGUUGGUCUGAAUAGGUCAGCGGCCAAGCGAAAGCAUUAAGCAUCCCACCUGGGGAGUACGCCGGCAACGGUGAAACUCAAAUGAAUUGACGG